rnacentral:rRNA from 1 species
CCUACGGGAGGCUGCAGUGGGGAAUAUUGCACAAUGGGGGAAACCCUGAUGCAGCGACGCCGCGUGAGUGAAGAAGUAAUUCGUUAUGUAAAGCUCUAUCAGCAGGGAAGAAAAUGACGGUACCUGAGUAAGAAGCCCCGGCUACCUACGUGCCAGCAGCCGCGGUAAUACGUAGGGGGCAAGCGUUAUCCGGAUUUACUGGGUGUAAAGGGAGCGUAGACGGCAGUGCAAGUCUGGAGGGAAAGGCGGGGGCUCAACCCCCGGACUGCUCUGGAAACUGUACGGCUUGAGUGCAGGAGAGGUAAGUGGAAUGCCUAGUGUAGCGGUGAAAUGCGUAGAUAUUAGGAGGAACACCAGUUGCGAAGGCAGCUUACUGGACUGUAACUGACGUUGAGGCUCGAAAGCGUGGGGAGCAAACAGGAUUAGAUACCCGAGUAGUC